CUUGAAUAUGAAGAUGUUUGUAAACAUUGGCCAACAUGUCAACAAAAUGUGUCCUAGCCUGUUCAACUAUUCCUGGUAAGGAAAAUGAUCAUAUUCAUAUGUUUUUUAACUUCAAGGAUUUUUCAUGCAAGAUAGGAAGAUAUUUUUCAAAUUUAAAUCCAAAUUGACUGAAAUUGAAUUUUCAUUCAACAUUGAGUCAAUAGGGAAUCACUUGUACUCAAAGACACAGCUUCUGCUGGUCUUGCCCAACAUCAGAUCUCUACGUUUCACUGCUAAUAGUGAAUUUAUGUUGCAAUUGAUAGAUGACAGUUUCUGAGGCACAACCACUUCUGCUUUUGUAGGUAUUUAUUUCCAGGAAGCUCUGCUUCCUUCAGUACAGUUUUGACAAGAGAACAGGAGAGGCACAACAGCACCGAGACUCGAAGCAAGUUAAGAACGACACUGAAACACUGAAACAAGGAUCCUUCAGGUAACAGCAGAAUUAAAAAUUGAGACCAAUAUUUUAUCAAGAAGAGAAAAGAAGAUGGGCUACCCCCUUGAAAUAUUGGUUUUCGGGCUUCUUUCAACUGGCCCGCUUUGGGCAGGUGUACAGUGUGACAUAAAUCUAUACAAGCUUUAUGUCCAACCUGCAACAGUCCAAGAGGGACUCUGUGUCUUCAUCCCCUGCAACUUCACUUAUGACCCAAAUGAUGCCAGCAGCACUGCCACAUUGUAUGGAUACUGGUUUAAGGGAGGAUGUUUUAAUUCUC